UUGCAUUUUCCCAAAAGCGGAGGAAAAGAAACCACAGGGAUUGCCUCAGUAACGGCGAGUGAAGCGGCAAAAGCUCAAAUUUGAAACCCUCGGGAUUGUAAUUUGAAGAUUUGGCAUUGGAGAAAGCUAACCCAAGUUGCUUGGAAUAGUACGUCAUAGAGGGUGACAACCCCGUCUGGCUAACCGUUCUCCAUGUAUUGCCUUAUCAAAGAGUCGAGUUGUUUGGGAAUGCAGCUCAAAGUGGGUGGUAAACUCCAUCUAAAGCUAAAUACUGGUGAGAGACCGAUAGCGAACAAGUACUGUGAAGGAAAGGUGAAAAGAACUUUGAAAAGAGAGUGAAAUAGUAUGUGAAAUUGUUGAUAGGGAAGGAAAUGAGUGGAGAGUGGCCGAGGUUUCAGCCGCCCCUCGUGGGCGGUGUACUGCCGACGCCGAGUCAUCGAUAGCGAGACGAGGGUUACAAAUGGGAGCGCCUUCGGGCGUUCUCCCCUAACCCUCCACACUGCCACCGACGACAUAAUCCACCCAUUUCACCCGUCUUGAACCACCGGAACCAAAA
rnacentral:rRNA from 1 species